GAACUUCCGUUAAUUGAUUAUGACGUACUUGUACUGAUUGAGAUUUUAACACGAAGUGAGUGGCGAACGGGUGAGUAACACGUGGGUAACCUGCCCAGAAGUAGGGGAUAACACCUGGAAACAGAUGCUAAUACCGUAUAACAGAGAAAACCGCAUGGUUUUCUUUUAAAAGAUGGCUCUGCUAUCACUUCUGGAUGGACCCGCGGCGUAUUAGCUAGUUGGUGAGGUAAAGGCUCACCAAGGCAGUGAUACGUAGCCGACCUGAGAGGGUAAUCGGCCACAUUGGGACUGAGACACGGCCCAGACUCCUACGGGAGGCAGCAGUAGGGAAUCUUCCACAAUGGACGCAAGUCUGAUGGAGCAACGCCGCGUGAGUGAAGAAGGGUUUCGGCUCGUAAAGCUCUGUUGUUAAAGAAGAACGUGGGUAAGAGUAACUGUUUACCCAGUGACGGUAUUUAACCAGAAAGCCACGGCUAACUACGUGCCAGCAGCCGCGGUAAUACGUAGGUGGCAAGCGUUAUCCGGAUUUAUUGGGCGUAAAGCGAGCGCAGGCGGUCUUUUAAGUCUAAUGUGAAAGCCUUCGGCUCA
rnacentral:rRNA from 1 species